rnacentral:rRNA from 1 species
AGUCGAGGGGCAUCGGGAGGGAAGCUUGCUUUCCUUGCCGGCGACCGGCGCACGGGUGAGUAACACGUAUGCAACCUGCCCUCUUCAGGGGGACAACCUUCCGAAAGGGAGGCUAAUCCCGCGUAUAUCGGUUUCGGGCAUCCGAGAUCGAGGAAAGAUUCAUCGGAAGAGGAUGGGCAUGCGGCGCAUUAGCUUGACGGCGGGGUAACGGCCCACCGUGGCGACGAUGCGUAGGGGUUCUGAGAGGAAGGUCCCCCACACUGGUACUGAGACACGGACCAGACUCCUACGGGAGGCAGCAGUGAGGAAUAUUGGUCAAUGGGAGAGAUCCUGAACCAGCCAAGCCGCGUGAGGGAAGACGGCCCUAUGGGUUGUAAACCUCUUUUGUCGGAGAACAAAACCCGGGACGUGUCCCGGACUGCGUGUAUCCGAAGAAAAAGCAUCGGCUAACUCCGUGCCAGCAGCCGCGGUAAUACGGAGGAUGCGAGCGUUAUCCGGAUUUAUUGGGUUUAAAGGGUGCGUAGGCGGUCCGUUAAGUCAGCGGUAAAAUUGCGGGGCUCAACCCCGUCGAGCCGUUGAAACUGGCAGACUUGAGUUGGCGAGAAGUACGCGGAAUGCGCGGUGUAGCGGUGAAAUGCAUAGAUAUCGCGCAGAACUCCGAUUGCGAAGGCAGCGUACCGGCGCCAGACUGACGCUGAGGCACGAAAGCGUGGGGAUCGAACAGGAUUAGAUACCCUGGUAGUCCACGCAGUAAACGAUGAAUGCUGGUUGUCCGGGUCGAAUGAGAUCUGGGCGGCGAAGCGAAAGCGAU